UACAGAGGUCCCAAGCGUUGUUCGGAUUCACUGGGCGUAAAGGGUGCGCAGGUGGGUUUGCAAGUUCGAUGUGAAAGCCCCGGGCUUAACCCGGGAAUGGCAUUGGAUACUGCAGAUCUGGAGGAUCGGAGGGGGGACUGGAAUUCUUGGUGUAGCAGUGAAAUGCGUAGAUAUCAAGAGGAACACCAGUGGCGAGGGCGAGUCCCUGGACGAUACCUGACACUGAGGCACGAAAGCUAGGGGAGCAAACAGG
rnacentral:rRNA from 1 species